CCGAGUUCACGAGGCUCCAAACCACCGCGAACAUACCACUACGUUUGCCUCGGCGGGCGGCUCCAGGGCGGAGCCUCCGGCCCCCCUCCGGGGGGGUGCCCGCCGACGGCCCCCCGAACCGCGUCGUAUCUAGGCUACUCCGAGUCCCCUGCGCGAGCAGUCA
rnacentral:misc_RNA from 1 species